rnacentral:rRNA from 1 species
CCAUUAGAUAGUAGCCGGGUAACGGCCCACCUAGUCAACGAUGGAUAGGGGUUCUGAGAGGAAGGUCCCCCACAUUUGGAACUGAGACACGGCCCAAACUCCUACGGGAGGCAGCAGUGAGGAAUAUUGGUCAAUGGGCGAUGGCCUGAACCAGCCAAGUAGCGUGAAGGAUGACUGCCCUAUGGGUUGUAAACUUCUUUUAUAAAGGAAUAAAGUCGGGUAUGCAUACCCGUUUGCAUGUACUUUAUGAAUAAGGAUCGGCUAACUCCGUGCCAGCAGCCGCGGUAAUACGGAGGAUCCGAGCGUUAUCCGGAUUUAUUGGGUUUAAAGGGAGCGUAGAUGGAUGUUUAAGUCAGUUGUGAAAGUUUGCGGCUCAACCGUAAAAUUGCAGUUGAUACUGGAUGUCUUGAGUGCAGUUGAGGCAGGCGGAAUUCGUGGUGUAGCGGUGAAAUGCUUAGAUAUCACGAAGAACUCCGAUUGC